rnacentral:rRNA from 1 species
GACGAACGCUGGCGGCGUGCUUAACACAUGCAAGUCGAACGGAAAGGCCCUGCUUUUGUGGGGUGCUCGAGUGGCGAACGGGUGAGUAACACGUGAGUAACCUGCCCUUGACUUUGGGAUAACUUCAGGAAACUGGGGCUAAUACCGGAUAGGAGCUCCUGCUGCAUGGUGGGGGUUGGAAAGUUUCGGCGGUUGGGGAUGGACUCGCGGCUUAUCAGCUUGUUGGUGGGGUAGUGGCUUACCAAGGCUUUGACGGGUAGCCGGCCUGAGAGGGUGACCGGCCACAUGGGGACUGAGAUACGGCCCAGACUCCUACGGGAGGCAGCAGUGGGGAAUAUUGCACAAUGGGCGGAAGCCUGAUGAAGCAACGCCGCGUGCGGGAUGACGGCCUUCGGGUUGUAAACCGCUUUCGCCUGUGACGAAGCGUGAGUGACGGUAAUGGGUAAAGAAGCACCGGCUAACUACG